rnacentral:lncRNA from 1 species
CCAGAGUUCAAGGCUAUAGUGGGCUUUGAAAUCCCAUCCCAUCCUCUGCCUGUUCCCACCUCCAGCACCUGCUGACUCUAAACACCAAACAUGAACUGACCCCGCUGCUGGCUUUGGAUCAAGUCCAGCCUGACACCAUAUUGUUGUGAAGUUGGCCAGCCAAGAAUCAAUUUGCUAUUGUUCAAUAAUGGAAAAAGUAAAAAAAAAAAAAAAAAAAAAAAUCUUGUAACAUGGAAAUUACAUAAUUAUAAUUUUCAGUGUACAUAAUUCAGAUUUUAUUGAAGUAUAACUAUGUCCAUUUGUUUUUGUAUCGUUUGUGGCUACUUUUGCCCCACGACAGCAGUGUUGAGACUCUCAGGUCUAUCUGGCCACACUCUGCUGCAUUUUACUUGUUAUUGGCAUUGGUCCUCUCUACCUUUCC